GAAGAACGCUAGCGGCAGGGUUUAUAACAUGCAAGUAGGGGGGCAACAGGGGUAGCAAAUACCUGCUGGCGACCGGCAAACGGGUGCGGAACACGUACAGAACCUUCCUUUAAAGCGGGGGAUAGCCCAUAGAAAUGUGGAUUAAUACCCCAUAGUAAUAUUAGUUGGCAUCAAUUGAUAUUUAAAGAUUUAUCACUUAAAGAUGGCUGUGCGGCUGAUUAGGUAGUUGGUCGGGGUAACGGCCCACCAAGCCAGCGAUCAGUAACUGGUGUGAGAGCACGACCAGUCACACGGGCACUGAGACACGGGCCCGACUCCUACGGGAGGCAGCAGUAAGGAAUAUUGGUCAAUGGACGCAAGUCUGAACCAGCCAUGCCGCGUGAAGGAUGAAGGUCCUCUGGAUUGUAAACUUCUUUUAUAGGGGACGAAACCUCUUUUUCUAAAGAGACUGACGGUACCCUAGGAAUAAGCACCGGCUAACUCCGUGCCAGCAGCCGCGGUAAUACGGAGGGUGCAAGCGUUAUCCGGAUUCACUGGGUUUAAAGGGUGCGUAGGAGGGCAGGUAAGUCAGUGGUGAAACCUCCGAGCUUAACUUGGAAACUGCCGUUGAUACUAUCUGUCUUGAAUACCGAGGAGGUGAGCGGAAUAUGUCAUGUAGCGGUGAAAUGCUUAGAUAUGACAUAGAACACCAAUUGCGAAGGCAGCUUGCUACAGGAACAUUGACACUGAGGCACGAAAGCGUGGGGAUCAAACAGGAUUAGAUACCCUGGUAGUCCACGCCCUAAACGAUGGAUACUCGACAUUUGUGAUACACAAUAAGUGUCUGAGCGAACGCAUUAAGUAUCCCACCCU
rnacentral:rRNA from 1 species